GACGAACGCUGGCGGCGUGCUUAACACAUGCAAGUCGAACGGAAAGGCCCUGCUUUUGUGGGGUGCUCAAGUGGCGAACGGGUGAGUAACACGUGAGUAACCUGCCCUUGACUUUGGGAUAACUUCAGGAAACUGGGGCUAAUACCGGAUAGGAGCUCCUGCUGCAUGGUGGGGGUUGGAAAGUUUCGGCGGUUGGGGAUGGACUCGCGGCUUAUCAGCUUGUUGGUGGGGUAGUGGCUUACCAAGGCUUUGACGGGUAGCCGGCCUGAGAGGGUGACCGGCCACAUUGGGACUGAGAUACGGCCCAGACUCCUACGGGAGGCAGCAGUAGGGAAUAUUGCACAAUGGGCGGAAGCCUGAUGCAGCAACGCCGCGUGCGGGAUGACGGCCUUCGGGUUGUAAACCGCUUUCGCCUGUGACGAAGCGUGAGUGACGGUAAUGGGUAAAGAAGCACCGGCUAACUACGUG
rnacentral:rRNA from 1 species